AGGAGGAACAGCCCCAGUGGCGGGGCCAGAUCUGGAAACCUGGAUUCAGCUCCGGCAGGAACUCCUUCUGCAGGGCCUGGAGGCUCCGGGGCGGG
rnacentral:pre_miRNA from 1 species